UACGAAGGGGGCUAGCGUUGCUCGGAAUUACUGGGCGUAAAGGGCGCGUAGGCGGACAGUUUAGUCGGGGGUGAAAGCCCGGGGCUCAACCUCGGAAUGCCUUCGAUACUGGCUGUCUUGAGUACGGGGAGAGGUGUGUGGAACUCCGAGUGUAGAGGUGAAAUUCGUAGAUAUUCGGAAGAACACCAGUGGCGAAGGCGACACAC
rnacentral:rRNA from 1 species